AUCCAGCUGAAGUGUCGUGAAUGGGACGAAAGGUGCGUCCUGCAU
rnacentral:hammerhead_ribozyme from 1 species